rnacentral:rRNA from 1 species
AUUGAACGCUGGCGGCAGGCCUAACACAUGCAAGUCGAGCGGUAGCACAGGGAGCUUGCUCCUGGGUGACGAGCGGCGGACGGGUGAGUAAUGUCUGGGAAACUGCCUGAUGGAGGGGGAUAACUACUGGAAGCGGUAGCUAAUACCGCAUAGCGUCGCAAGACCAAAGAGGGGGACCUUCGGGCCUCUUGCCAUCAGAUGUGCCCAGAUGGGAUUGGCUAGUAGGUGGGGUAACGGCUCACCUAGGCGACGAUCCCUAGCUGGCCUGAGAGGAUGAACAGCCACACUGGAACUGAGACACGGUCCAGACUCCUACGGGAGGCAGAAGUAGGGAAUAUUGCACAAUGGGCGCAAGCCUGAUGCAGCCAUGCCGCGUGUAUGAAGAAGGCCUUCGGGUUGUAAAGUACUUUCAGCGGGGAGGAAGGCGAUAAGGUUAAUAACCUUGUCGAUUGACGUUACCCGCAGAAGAAGCACCGGCUAACUCCGUGCCAGCCGCCGCCGUAA